AUUGAACGCUGGCGGAAUGCUUUACACAUGCAAGUCGAACGGCAGCACGGGGCAACCUGGUGGCGAGUGGCGAACGGGUGAGUAAUACAUCGGAACGUGCCCGAUCGUGGGGGAUAACGUAGCGAAAGUUACGCUAAUACCGCAUACGAUCUACGGAUGAAAGCGGGGGAUCGCAAGACCUCGCGCGAAUGGAGCGGCCGAGGGCAGAUUAGGUAGUUGGUGGGGUAAAGGCUCACCAAGCCAACGAUCUGUAGCUGGUCUGAGAGGACGACCAGCCACACUGGGACUGAGACACGGCCCAGACUCCUACGGGAGGCAGCAGUGGGGAAUUUUGGACAAUGGGCGCAAGCCUGAUCCAGCCAUUCCGCGUGCAGGAUGAAGGCCUUCGGGUUGUAAACUGCUUUUGUACGGAACGAAACGGUUCUCUCUAAUACAGGGGGCUAAUGACGGUACCGUAAGAAUAAGCACCGGCUAACUACGUGCCAGCAGCCGCCGCGGUAA
rnacentral:rRNA from 1 species